CCCUUAGAUGUCCUGGGCCGCACGCGCGCUACACUGAUGCAUGCAACGAGUUUAUAACCUUGGCCUGAAAGGUCUGGGUAAUCUUUUGAACGUGCACCGUGAUAGGGAUAGAUUAUUGCAAUUGUUAAUCUUGAACGAGGAAUUCCUAGUAAACGCGAGUCAUCAGCUCGCAUUGAUUACGUCCCUGCCCUUUGUACACACCGCCCGUCGCACCUACCGAUUGAAUGGUUCGGUGAAGAUCUCGGACUUCGAUAUUUAUUCUUUAUUGAGUUUAUAUUGUGGGAAGUUAUCUAAACCUCAUCAUUUAGAGGAAGGUGAAGUCGUAACA
rnacentral:rRNA from 1 species